UGCACUGUCCAAUGUGAUACUCCUACGUAAGUAUAUAGAAAAAGGAUGUUCGUUUAGUCAAUUGACAUAUGUUCAUUUUAAACAAGGAUUAGUGUGACAGGAUAACUAAGUUUGUCAUCUGGUAUAAUGCACUUCCUCGAUUAGCAUAAUUAGAACAGAGUUUGUAAAUAGUUAUAUGCGGACUCCAGUUAGCUAAGGCAGCCAGCAUCAGUGGAGAGUGUGAGCAGCUCGAGAAGAGGCGAGGAACUCAAUGUGAUUUAUGAAUUUGUGGAAUUUCAUUAAAUAAACGAACGCCUGUCACAAAAAUGUAGUUGAACAUAGAACACACAGAAUCGCUGAUUUUUCUAUCGUACAUUUGAGGGUGAACGUGAACGAAGCCGUGCAGGGUGCCUUACAUCGAUUUUACUUCAGAACACACAGUGAGCUCAGAUGCAACCAUGGCUUCAUUCAACCAGAAGUUUCUCCUUGUUCCUUUUCUUGGGACAAUAACCACUUUCUAUUGGUGGUGCGGUUACAGAUUUCAAAACAUGUCAAAUGG